GACGAACGCUGGCGGCGCGUCUAACACAUGCAAGUCGAACGAGAGAGAGGAAGCUUGCUUCCUUAAUCGAGUGGCGAACGGGUGAGUAACGCGUGAGGAACCUGCCUCAAAGAGGGGGACAACAGUUGGAAACGACUGCUAAUACCGCAUAAGCCCACAGCUCGGCAUCGAGCAGAGGGAAAAGGAGCGAUCCGCUUUGAGAUGGCCUCGCGUCCGAUUAGCUGGUUGGUGAGGUAACGGCCCACCAAGGCGACGAUCGGUAGCCGGACUGAGAGGUUGAACGGCCACAUUGGGACUGAGACACGGCCCAGACUCCUACGGGAGGCAGCAGUGGGGAAUAUUGCACAAUGGGGGAAACCCUGAUGCAGCGACGCCGCGUGGAGGAAGAAGGUCUUCGGAUUGUAAACUCCUGUUGUUGAGGAAGAUAAUGACGGUACUCAACAAGGAAGUGACGGCUAACUACGUGCCAGCAGCCGCGGUAAAACGUAGGUCACAAGCGUUGUCCGGAAUUACUGGGUGUAAAGGGAGCGCAGGCGGGAAGACAAGUUGGAAGUGAAAUCUAUGGGCUCAACCCAUAAACUGCUUUCAAAACUGUUUUUCUUGAGUAGUGCAGAGGUAGGCGGAAUUCCCGGUGUAGCGGUGGAAUGCGUAGAUAUCGGGAGGAACACCAGUGGCGAAGGCGGCCUACUGGGCACCAACUGACGCUGAGGCUCGAAAGUGUGGGUAGCAAACAGG
rnacentral:rRNA from 1 species